rnacentral:rRNA from 1 species
ACCCUUUAAUGUUUGAUGUUCUAACGUGGACCCGUGAUCCGGGUUGCGGACAGUGUCUGGUGGGUAGUUUGACUGGGGCGGUCUCCUCCUAAAGAGUAACGGAGGAGCACGAAGGUUGGCUAAUCCUGGUCGGACAUCAGGAGGUUAGUGCAAUGGCAUAAGCCAGCUUGACUGCGAGCGUGACGGCGCGAGCAGGUGCGAAAGCAGGUCAUAGUGAUCCGGUGGUUCUGAAUGGAAGGGCCAUCGCUCAACGGAUAAAAGGUACUCCGGGGAUAACAGGCUGAUACCGCCCAAGAGUUCAUAUCGACGGCGGUGUUUGGCACCUCGAUGUCGGCUCAUCACAUCCUGGGGCUGAAGUAGGUCCCAAGGGUAUGGCUGUUCGCCAUUUAAAGUGGUACGCGAGCUGGGUUUAGAACGUCGUGAGACAGUUCGGUCCCUAUCUGCCGUGGGCGCUGGAGAACUGAGGGGGGCUGCUCCUAGUACGAGAGGACCGGAGUGGACGCAUCACUGGUGUUCGGGUUGUCAUGCCAAUGGCACUGCCCGGUAGCUAAAUGCGGAAGAGAUAAGUGCUG